UUUGGUGGCGAUAGCGAAGAGGUCACACCCGUUCCCAUUCCGAACACGGCAGUUAAGCUCUUCAGCGCCGAUGGUAGUUGGGGGUUUCC
rnacentral:rRNA from 1 species